CCUGCUGCUCAAGUUCUUAACC
rnacentral:miRNA from 11 species